GGCCGGUUAGCUCAGCUGGUUAGAGCGUGGUGCUAAUAACGCCAAGGUCCUGACUUAGAUCCCCAUACUGGCCA
rnacentral:tRNA from 1 species